rnacentral:lncRNA from 1 species
UGUGCUGCCAGCUGGCCCAAGGGCCACAGCCCCCACCGGGCAGGAGCCACCCUGGAGUGGCUGGACUGGCAGCCCAGGAGGGCUAGGGUGCUGGGGACCCCUGAGGACACCACCUCCUUACCAACAGGUACAGGGGCAGGUGCAGCUCAAUAUCUUACCGACCAGCUCAGCCCUUCCUGUGCGCACUGGCUGAGCACCUGCUGGGGCCUCAGGCUCCCUCGGCCUUCCCAUACCUGCCCUGUUGUACCCCUGAGGCAUCCUUAUGGUCUUGCCCAUCCCAUGCCAAGGCAGCUCUGGCCUGCUCCUCACUGUCCUGGAGCCUGAGACAACCACGGCCGCAUCUUCCUCAGUCCACUCUAUUCCAGCCCGAGUCCCUGGGGAUCUGCUCCCCAAGCACGGUGCCCUGGGGAUCCACGCUGUCUUCCACUUUGUGCCUUCCAGACAUCAUCUACUGUCCCCAAAACCUUCUGUGGAUUCAUAGGUCACUAUUGGUAACUAUAGGUUACCACAGGUCAUAGGUCACUACAGUUAUCCCAGUUACCAACAGUCUAGGGUACGAAGUCAGGGAGGCCGGGCAGCCUGUCCUUCACAGCCUUUCCCUCUGGCCUUAGGUAGGAAGAAGGGGGCCCUACUGGUCGGCUCUGCCAAGCUGCAGAAUCAGGACCUGGGGUCGUCUACACAGCUCAGAGCUGUGGCUCAAACCCAGCCAUGGAGUUGGGGGUCACUCCCUCGGGGCCAAGGGCCUGACAAAAACCAGGAUAGGAGUGCCGUGGCCUGGAGCAGCUGUGUGGCUCCGAACGCAGCAGGGAGGGCCCAACGCUAGGCAUGGGGCAGGCAGGGCUGUGCACGUAGACGCCCCCUCAGCAGGCCGUCAAGGCCCUGCAUUAAGGCAAACAUGAGCCACCUUCAGUGUGUGCGUUUCCAACACGAGAUGCUGUUAGCUGAAGGGAGGACUGGGAUGGGCCCGUCCCGCCCCCCACCAACAGGGCGUCCAGGUGAAGGACCAGGAGAAGAGGCGGCGUGUGGAGGAAGAAGGCGCAGGAAUGGGGAGGGGGUGUGGAGGAAGAAGGCGCAGGAAUGGGGAGGGCGUGUGGAGGAAGAAGGCGCAGGAAUGGGGAGAGGGCGUGGAGGAAGAAGGCGCAGGAAUGGGGAGAGGGCGUGUGGAGGAAGAAGGCGCAGGAAUGGGGAGAGGGCGUGGAGGAAGAAGGCGCAGGAAUGGGGAGAGGGCGUGGAGGAAGAAGGCGCAGGAAUGGGGAGAGGGCGUGUGGAGGAAGAAGGCGCAGGAAUGGGGAGAGGGCGUGGAGGAAGAAGGCGCAGGAAUGGGGAGAGGGCGUGGAGGAAGAAGGCGCAGGAAUGGGGAGAGGGCGUGGAGGAAGAAGGCGCAGGAAUGGGGAGAGGGCGUGUGGAGGAAGAAG